UACAGAGGUCUCAACCGUUGUUCGGAUUCAUUGGGCGUAAAGGGUGCGUAGGCGGUCGCGCAAGUCGGAUGUGAAAUCUCGAGGCUCAACCUCGAAACUGCAUUCGAUACCGCGUGGCUAGAGUGCUGGAGGGGAGACUGGAAUUUACGGUGUAGCAGUGAAAUGCGUAGAUAUCGUAAGGAAGACCAGUGGCGAAGGCGAGUCUCUGGACAGCAACUGACGCUGAGGCACGAAGGCCAGGGGAGCAAACGGG
rnacentral:rRNA from 1 species